UUUUCUUAUCCCUAUACCUGUCCAAAGAGCCGUCUCAUUUUCUGGUAAAAACAAAAACUAACAAAAUAUCUUUUCUUUCCAGAAACAACGAACACCUCUCUCACCUGAGGACUUUUACUAACUUGGCUCUCUUCCUCUAUCCCAAUAUGUAAUUCAAGCUGACCAAUCAAAGUACCUCAUCCAUUGGAUACAGUGAUUGGUCUAGGGUUGAGCAUGUGAUCUAAGCAGAACCAAUCAGAGUCACUUUUUAUUCUGUAAUUGCUAUAGAUAGUCCCCUUUAAUCUUGAGAACUGAAACCUAUCUCCAGAUGGAAAACUCUAUGAAGUCAACACAGAAAAAAGCAAAACUGAAAGAUGGAGAGAACAAAAGGAAUCCUGAUGAUGGUGUUUCAAUCCCUGAACUCGCCUUUUCUGAAGCCUUUCCUGCUACUUGAGCCAAGUGAUGCCCAAGUUAGAGUUGGGUUUCUAUUACUUCAUUGUCCUUCAUCCACCUUUCUCUCCAAGGAUAACUGGAUUCCGAAAAGCCUUUACAGUUCUUCCUGUGUGGGUCAAAUCUUUCUUCAUAAGCAAUCAGGGUGCCAUGCACUCUCCAGUGUGACAUUCACAAGUUAUCAUUUUAUAUUUAUUCAUGCAAUUGCUUCUAUGUAUCCUUCACAUGACUUCAAGUUCCCUGAGAAUGCCUUGGGUUUUGCUCAACAUUCAUUGUAACACCAGUGCCUGGCACAGAGCCAGCACUCCAUAUAUAUUUAGAGACUGAAUAAAUUACAUAAUGGCGUCCUGGCGGAGUCUGCGCAGAGGAGACACCGGAGCCGGUGGGAGGCGGCCAGGGGAGCUCGCGCGGAUUGGCUGGAGCAGCCAGGGGAUCGGCUGCGCAGGGCGAGGCCGGAUAGACUGCAGUCCCCCGGAGCUGCGCGACGGAAGUGCUCGCCAGGCCCCGGCGCGGGGUCCAAGAUGGUGGCGCUAGGACCUGGAACCACGUGAUAGAAUCCGUGGAGGGGCCCUGACCGAGCGGGAGGCUGGGGGUGGCGUGGAGGUGAGACCCCGCUGUGUUCACAGAGCUGGGGGCCCCCCGGCGCCUGCGUCUUCCAGGGAGCGAGGAAUGGAGCAGAGCUCUGGAGGCAGACCCUAGACUCCUGCUUCCUCUGGAUGGGGAGAAGCCUGGGGGACUUCAGGAGGACGUAGGCGCCAGGUGCGAAUGACUGGGCCUUCCUUGCCCUGGGCUGGCUUCUCCGUCUCGGUGUGCCCCGCUUCCUGGCGCGUCCCCUUACUCUUGCCUGUUCCCGUUCCCUCCUAUGGGUACCGCAAACGGAAUCUGCCCCAGGCCCAGAAUUCACCGUCAGACAUAAAUUGAUCCUAUUCCUCGCCCAACGCUGUGCCAGAAAUUCAAGAUGCUGCAGGAUGUGGCUGUGAAUGAAUCACAAAAGGAUGCUGGCCUCCAGACCUAUACUCAGUGGGAUCGCUACAAGGAAGAGACACUAGAUAAGGAGGCAGAGCUGGCCUCACUGGGUAAGGGCACUGAACUCUAACUUAGAAUCCAUAUACUCUUGAGUUCUCUGAGUUUUGGUUGAAAAAACGAAAAACUAUUUCUUCUAUACCUCAAAGAUGUCCAAACAUAAAAAAAAAAACUAGAGAA